UGGCUGCUAUUGGUCAGCAGCUAAUUGGCGGGUCCCUAUAAGAGGUCCAGGGCCAGGAGCUGGCCACUCUCCUGCCUGGGCUGCCUGCUCAACGGGGGAGGGGGGUGUCCAGUGUUUCAGCCACUUGUGAUAGAUGACCAAGUGACCUCUUCCUUGGGGUAUGCACACCAGUGGAAGACACACAAACUGGUUGUGGCCGACUUCAUCAAAUGCUGGCGUCCUAUGGAAUGAAAUGCAGAUAACUCUUUAGAAAACUUUUAUAGGAAAAGCGGCUCGUGUGAUCUGGAACAAAGACAUUUUAUAAUCAGAUUUAUCAAGCUGCGAAGAGGGAGCUUUAGCGAACGGAAGCAGCAGCAUUCUGUCACCAGGAAAUACUUUAUCCAGAAUUGGUAAGUGAAAAAUGGCAUUGCUCCCUAAUAGAUAUCAUAUGGUGUGUGGGGGAAUUGUAAAAUUGUUCACAGACCCCUAACUGUUGAACCAGAGAGCACAUAAACAGAGUCAGGAAUUCUAAAAAAGAGCUGCCCAAGAGUAUAGCAUAAAGGCUGAGAAUGAGACCAGGUAAUUAACAAAAAUGAGCCGUGUGUCACUCAUUUAGCAAGCAUAUGUAAUGCAUUUAGUUUUAGGGUUUUUUUCUUCCUUUUUAGUGGGGGGAAGCAUACCAUCAAAAUGAGUUGUUUGGUAGUUAUGGCUUUAACUUUCCAUGGAUAUAGAUUUCCAUAUAGUCUGUAAUAGUAUGUUCGGUGUUUGAAGGACUGCUUUCAACGCCUGUCUCCUUGCCUUCCUUCUACCCAAGGGUGUCAAGCAUUCAGUUAGAACGUUAACAAAAUGAAAGUACGAGUAAUGCAUUGGAAACGUUUUCUACUGAUUGUGAAGGGCAGAUUAAAAUGGGAAUCGAUUUUUCUUUUUUACAUUUGUGCCAUAAAUUCUAGGAUUGUUUUGUUUGAUUACAUUAGUACAGCAAAUGGGUGGUUCUUUUUGUAUGGUCCAUUACAUUUUGAGAGAUCGUGCUUAGCAUUUUCUAUUGGUUUUGUGUGUGUGUGUGUAUAUAUAUAUAUCUGCCUGUCUUAUCUUUUUCCGAAACCUUAAAUUAAGUUCUCUAAUCUCAAAUCUGAACUGCCCCUAUGUUUAAGGUUUCCAGAAAAAUACAAUAAAGCUUUGAAUGCCUGUGUUAUAUACAAUGGGUUCCUGUUCACAAACUGUAAGGAAAGACAGUUUUAUAUUAGGAAUGAAUGUCAGAUUUCUUGAUCUGGUUUCUUAAGAAUGAUUGUGCCAAAAAGGUUGAAUAGAAUAAGAAAAUAAAA